rnacentral:rRNA from 1 species
AUUGAACGCUGGCGGCAGGCUUAACACAUGCAAGUCGAUCGAGUGGCGUGCGGGUGAGUCAUGUUUGGGAAUCUAGCUUUUGGCGGGGGAUAACUACGGGAAACUGUAGCUAAUACCACCUACCAUCAGAUGAGCCCAAGUGGGAUUAGGUAGUUGGUGAGGUAAAGGCUCACCAAGCCGACGAUCUCUAGCUGGUCUGAGAGGAUGACCAGCCACACUGGGACGGAGACACGGGCCAGAUUCCAACGGGAGGCAGCAGUGGGGAAGAUUGGACAAAGGGAGAAACCAGAGGAAGCCAUGAAGCGUGUAUGAAGAAGGCCUUCGGGUUGUAAAGGUCUUUCGGUAGAGAGGCGUUAGCUGCAGAAGAAGCACCGGCUAACUCCGUGCCAGCAGCCGCGGUAAUUC